rnacentral:rRNA from 1 species
CCUACGGGGUGCAGCAGUGAGGAAUAUUGGUCAAUGGGCGAGAGCCUGAACCAGCCAAGUCGCGUGAGGGAAGACGGUCCUCUGGAUUGUAAACCUCUUUUGUCGGGGAGCAAAAAGGCCUCGUGAGGCCACAAGUGAGAGUACCCGAAGAAAAAGCAUCGGCUAACUCCGUGCCAGCAGCCGCGGUAAUACGGAGGAUGCGAGCGUUAUCCGGAUUGAUGGGGUGUAAAGGGUGCGUAGGCGGACUGGAAAGUCAGCGGUAAAAUCGAGAGGCUCAACAUCUUUCCGCCGUUGCACAUGGCGGUCUUGAGUGGGCGAGAAGUAUGCGGAAUGCGUUGUUGAGCGGUGAAAUGCAUAGAUAUCACGCAGAACUCCGAUUGCGAAGGCAGCAUACCGGCGCCCGACUGACGCUGAGGCACGAAAGCGUGGGUAUCGAACAGGAUUAGAUACCCUGUAGUC